rnacentral:lncRNA from 1 species
GUUUUCUAAUGGAAGAAAUUUUCCAUCUCUUGGCCAGGCACAGUGGCUCAUGCCUGUAAUCCCUGCACUUUGGGAGGCUGAGGCAGGAGGGUCAGGAGUUUUAGACCAGCUUGGCCAACAUAGUGACACAGUCCUUACUGAAAAAAAAAUUUAAAAAAAAAAGCCUGGCAUGGUGGCUCACACCAGUAAUCCCAGCUACUUGGGAGGCUGAGGCAGGAGAUUCACUUGAACCAAAGGAGGUGAGGUUGUAGUGAGCCAAGAUCGUGCCACGGCACUCCACCCUGGGCAACAGAGGAGACUCUGUCUCAAAAAAAAAAAAAAAAGGAAUUUUCUGUCUCCCUAUUUAUUUAUUCAGGCAGUUAUAUCAGUGUGGACUCAGUUUCUUACUAUAUUUAAUGUAUAUUCUCACUAGACAUUACCUGUUAUUAUCAUCAUUUUUAUUUUGAUAUUGUUUAUCACAAAUAUGAUCAUUAGGAUCUCCUUCAAACUGGCUCCUGUAUUUCUUUGACAGGGCUGCAUAAUUGUUUGAGCACUUCCUUCUUACUUUCUAGCACAAUGAGACAUUCUAGGCUCCCCUUAUAUUGUCCCAGGCUAGGGUGCAGUGGCAUGUUCAUGGCUCACUGCAGCCUCAACCUCCCUGGGCUCAGGUGAUCCUCCCACCUCAGCCUCCCAAGUAGCUGAGACCACAGGCAUGUGCCACCAUGCCUGGGUAAUUUUUGUAUUUUUUGUAGAAGUGGAGUUUUGCCAUGUUGCCCAGACUGGUCUCCAACGCCCGGGCUCAAGUGAUCCACCUGCCUCGGCCUCCCAAAGUGCUGGGAAUACAGGUAUUACGGAAUUCCCCUCCAUAAAGUUUAUGUCAAUUUGCAAUCCUUUUCGCAACGUGUGAGAGUGACUAUUUCCUUACGGCCUCAUUCAACAAAGGUCUGCCUCUGUCACCUUGUGACCCACCAUGUUGGCCAAGCUGGUCUUAAACUCCUGACCUCAAGUGAUCUGUCCAUCUGUACCUCCCAAAGUGCUGGGAUUAUAGACGUGAGUCACUGUGCCCAGCCUUAAUUAUUUAUAGUAUGUAUUACUUUGUGUUGUGGUACAAUAUAUAUAAAACAUAGAAUUUACCCCUUUAACGAUAUUUAAUAUACAGUUCAGUGUCAUUAAGUACAUUCACAUUGUUGUGCAGCCAUAACCACCCUCCAUCUCCAGAUCAUUUUUAUCUUCCCAAACCGAAACUCUGAACCCGUUAAACAGAAACUCACCAGCAUUUUACUUUCUGUCGCUAUGACCUUAACUACCCUAGGUAUCCAUAUAAGUGGAAAUAUACGGUUUUUGCCUUUUUUUUUUUUUUUUGAGAUGGAGUCUCACUUUUUUGUUGUUGUUGUUUAGUUACCCAGGCUAAAGUGCAGUGGUGCAAUCUGGGCUCAGUCUCUUGAGUAGCUGGGAUUACGGGUGUAUACAACAUGCCUGGCUGAUUUUUAUA